rnacentral:misc_RNA from 1 species
AAAAAAAGCAGCACAGCAGCAAAGUAAUAACUAGCUAGUGAUCUUAUGAAAGGAUAAUGGGAAAGUAAAAGAUUAGGGAACGCCAGGGAAUGAGGGGAACGUAAUGUCAACACAACUAAUAAAAUGAAUUCAAAAAUAAAAGCUCAUAAAAGGAAAAAAUCUUGUGCAGAAAGUGGCACUAUAUGUUACAGAAAUAGUACAGUUAAGUGCUUAAACAUAUCAUGAAUGGGAAACAAACCAAAUUGACAAAUAAUAGACUCCUUGUAAAAAUAUAGAGCACAUAUUUUAGUGGUUAGUAAGGAAGCAAACAUCAAUCUAAAACAAAUACAUAUGUGUUUGUGUGUGGCAAACACCCACACACUUACAGGAAUGUAGGGUUGAGCAAGGAGAAUUAUAGAAGGAUCGGUAACAGAAUGGAUGAGCUAUUGGAGGGAAUUGUUGAGGUUGGAUAUGUGGAGGGACAGCUAGCAAAGCAGGCAAAAAUUAGUGUAAAGAGAAGAAGAGGAGGAUGAAAGGGGGCAUCGAUGAAAUCUGGCAUUGCUCUCUGUUUUCAUGGGGGCAGAGUAAUUCUGCAGAGGAACGGGUUCCUGGGGUUUAUUAUGAAGCAUUUAUCUUUUUUGUUUCUUUUCCCUCGUUUUUGAGUUGUAAUUGUUGUAAUUCUUGAAUCUGAGUUAGUAUUACUUUAAUCUAUUACAUUUUCAUUUCAACUUCAAUAUCUCUGUUGCUAACUCUAUCACACACACACACACA